rnacentral:rRNA from 1 species
GCCUAGCCAUAAAUCUUGGCACUUCCCCUACCAAAGUGCCCGCCCGAGAACUACGAGCACAAACGCUUAAAACUCUAAGGACUUGGCGGUGCCCCAAACCCACCUAGAGGAGCCUGUUCUAUAAUCGAUAACCCACGAUCCACCCGACCACCCCUUGCCAAAACAGCCUACAUACCGCCGUCGUCAGUCCACCUUCACAUGAGAGGGUAACAGUGAACACAAUAGCCCCGCCCGCUAACAAGACAGGUCAAGGUAUAGCCUAUGGGGUGGAAGAAAUGGGCUACAUUUUCUGGAGCAGAAAACAACGAAAGGGGAUGUGAAAUCAUCCCCUAAAGGCGGAUUUAGCAGUAAAGCGGGACAAUAGAGCCCCCUUUAAACCGGCCCUGAGGCACGU